rnacentral:rRNA from 1 species
GGCUUUCUGAAGAACAUGGGGGGUCGUACCUUCCCAGUGGGCAUACGAGCCUAAACGGACGCGGUAAAUCGUGCUAAGGUAGCUAAAUUAUGGCCUAUUAAUUGUAGGUCCUGUGAAUGGUUUGACGAGUCCUCGACUGUCUCGAAGUUGUUUUGGUGAACUUGAAUUGAACGUGCAAAUGCUUUCAUGGGGAAGAAAGACGAGAAGACCCCGUGAAGUUAGAAAUUCCUACUACAACGUUAAUCCGCUAUGGUGUUUAUAGACCAGGCGUUCUAGGGUCUUAGGUUUAGCGUGUCUUAGGUUGGGCAUAUUAAAUACAUUAGGCUCUUAAGUGGGGGAGUGUAGCUUCGAUGAGUUUUGGCUGGGGCAGCAAAGAGGCAAAGCUAGACCUUUUUAGUCACACGACGGGUGCGUUACGACCCACAUAAGUGAAUAGUGUGAUUAGCAGAAUGAGUUACUCCGGGGAUAACAGCGUAAUCUUCCUUGAUAGUUCUUAUAGAUGGGUAGGUUUGCGACCUCGAUGUUGGCUCUGGGUAUCCUGAGGCUUGCAGGUGGUCUCAAGGGUUGGUUCGUUCGCCCAUUAAAACCCG